GAUGAACGCUGGCGGCGUGCCUAAUACAUGCAAGUCGAGCGAAGCGGGGACGGGUGAGUAAAACGUGGAGAACCUCCCAUAUGACUGGGAUAACUUAGGGAAACCGGAGCUAAACCGGCUCCGUAUAGCUGGAUCCGUGCUGCAUUAGCUAGUUGGUCAGGUAACGGAUUACCCAGGCAACGAUGCAUAGCCGACCUGAGAGGGGGAUCGGCCACACUGGAACUGAGAAACGGUCCAGACUCCUACGGGAGGCAGCAGUAGGGAAUCGUCCGCAAUGGGCGAAAGCCGGACGGAGCAACGCCGCGUGAGUGAUGAAGGUCUUCGGAUCGUAAAACUCUGUUAGUAGGGAAGCGGUACCUACUCAGAAAGCCCCGGCUAACUACGUGCCAGCAGCCGCGGUAAUUC
rnacentral:rRNA from 1 species